rnacentral:misc_RNA from 1 species
UCCGGUUUGUCACCGGCAGUCUGGCGUGAGUCCCCAACUUAAUGCUGGCAACACGCCACGGGGGUUGCGCUCGUUGCGGGACUUAACCCAACAUCUCACGACACGAGCUGACGACAGCCAUGCAGCAUCUGUGGCGCACCCUCGAAGGUCACACGUUUCCGUGCGCUUGCAGCGCCAUGUCAAGCCCAGGUAAGGUUCUUCGCGUUGCAUCGAAUUAAAGAACAUGCUCCGCUGCUUGUGCGGGCCCCCGUCAACUCGGAGGAAGGUGGGGAUGACGUUUACCGACAGC